rnacentral:misc_RNA from 1 species
AACGCACAUUGCGCCCCUUGGUAUUCCGGGGGGCAUGCCUGUUCGAGCGUCAUUAUAACCCUCAAGCCUAGCUUGGUGUUGGAGCAUGCUACCUAGCAGCUCUUAAAAUCAGUGGCAGUGCCCUUCGGCUCUAAGCGUAGUAACUUCUCUCGCUAUGGAAGCCGGGUGGUAUGCGCCAAAACCCCCAACUUUCUAAGGUUGACCUCGGAUCAGGUAGGGAUACCCGCUGAACUUAA